AUACGGAGGGGGUUAGCGUUGUUCGGAAUUACUGGGCGUAAAGCGCACGUAGGCGGACUGGAAAGUUGGGGGUGAAAUCCCGGGGCUCAACCCCGGAACUGCCUCCAAAACUUCCAAUCUAGAGGUCGAGAGAGGUGAGUGGAAUUCCAAGUGUAGAGGUGAAAUUCGUAGAUAUUUGGAGGAACACCAGUGGCGAAGGCGGCUCACUGGCUCGAUACUGACGCUGAGGUGCGAAAGCGUGGGGAGCGAACAGGAUUAGAAACCCUAGUAGUCC
rnacentral:rRNA from 1 species